GUGGGAGGGGGCUUGCUCCCGAUAGCGGUGGGUCAGUUGCAGAUUUUCUGACUGAUAUACCGCUAUCGGGAGCAAGCCCCCUCCCAC
rnacentral:misc_RNA from 1 species